AGCAGCGUGGCUCAGUGGAAAGAGCCCGGGCUUGGGAGCCAGAGGUCAUGGGUUCGAAUCCCGGCUCUGCCA
rfam:Ornithorhynchus anatinus chromosome 4, whole genome shotgun sequence.